UACGUAGGGGGCUAGCGUUGUCCGGAUUUAUUGGGCGUAAAGAGCGUGUAGGCGGCCAGGUAGGUCUGCUGUGAAAACUCGAGGCUCAACCUCGAGACGUCGGCGGAAACCAUCUGGCUAGAGUCCGGAAGAGGAGAGUGGAAUUCCUGGUGUAGCGGUGAAAUGCGCAGAUAUCAGGAGGAACACCGGUGGCGAAGGCGGGUCUCUGGGCCGAUAUUGACGCUGAGGAGCGAAAGCGUGGGGAGCGAACAGG
rnacentral:rRNA from 1 species